AGGAUGCAUUGAUAACUUGUACAAGAGUGUAGAAGAUAUUGAUGGCCAAUACUUGAAGUCAACUUCCCACAAAACAAUUUUACUUAGUUCCAAGCUAGCCCCUGGUUUUAGCUAUGCUAACCAUCCUUUAGGAAUCGAGGGAGCCACUUUUCACUCUAAUGAAUCAGAGAAACCAGUUUUUGUAGACCCCAAACCACCCUAUAUUGAAGAUGAUUGUGUUGGAGGAUUCUUAAGAGCUCCGGCAAUGUUCAUGGUAACUGAUAGCCUGAUCGUAAGGUGGAGGGGAGUUACCUGUCACUGACAUUGAAGUGCAAUGAAUCUUGGCAAGGUGGAGACCUGAACUUCUACUUGGGGUGUCCAACUAUGAUGGGUUGAAGUUGAACAGAAGAAGGAUUUGAGUCUUUUGGUGGCUGCUUUUCUUUUUUACUCUCCUCUAACUGAUUUCUAUAGGAUGACAGAUCAAGAACAUUAA